rnacentral:lncRNA from 1 species
GGGGAUGGGGGGGCAGAGGGGUCUGUCCGGUGAACUUUCUAGUGCGUGGCCUGGCCUAGUGCAGGGCAAGCACCCGCUUCCUGCCUUCCCUGGUUUAUACAGCCCUGCACUCACGCACCCGUGUGUUAAUUCAUCUGUCCCAGGACUUCCACAUCUUUCUGUAAAUUGGACAAAGAUCCCUGUGUCCAGAGGAGGAGACAACACCUCCACGCCCCAGUCCCGAAGCUCUGUGGACCCUGCCUUUGGACACCCGCCUAGGAGGCUGUGUCCAACCCGGGAUGAUCCUAAAGAGCAGGUGUGUGUUUGACAAGUUUGUCUGCACAGAACACAGUUGAGUGAACAGAAAAGCUGUUGUCACCAAGGGAGUGUUGUGACACAUUUUUGGCUGAAGAAAUUACAUAGAUUUUGCUCUCCUGAAUUGUGAUUACAUUCUACAGAGGAUUCAAUUUUGGAUUUUGCUUUUUUUUUGUUUUUGAGAGAGAGUCUUGCUCUGUUGCCCAGGCUGGAGUGCAGUGGUCCAAUCUCAGCUCACUGCAAGCUCCACCUACCAGGUUCAAGUGAUUCUCCCGGGUUCAAGCAAUUCUCCUGCCUCAGCCUCCCAAGUAGCUGGAAUUACAAGCGCCCUCCUUCAUGCCCGGCUAAUUUUUGUAUUUUUGUAGAGAUGGAGUUUUACCAUGUUGGCCAGGCUGGUCUUGAACUCCUUUGACCUCAGGUGAUCCACCCACCUCGGCCUCCCAAAGUGCUGGGAUUAUAGGCGUGAGCCACCGCGCCCCGCCAGGAUUGUGACCCAUGCGCUCACCUCCUGUCUCCCCGAGGGCCUGAGCUCCUUUUCUUUGGCCUGUCUGAUUGAUGGUUGCCCAUCUACUUUCUAUUCUGCUUUCUGGAAAACCCCUGAGCAUUUCAAGCCUCCAAGUCCUGAGAAUUUCUGCAGCUUUCCCAAGCAGGAAGACCAGGGAGAGGAGAAGAGAAGGAGAUGCUGGCAGGGGCAGCAGGGCCGGGGUGACCUCUCCCAGCUCAGGGCCCUAGCUCUGGUCUUUCCAGGGAUGGAUCUCCCAUCCUCCCAGUAUUUCUGCCACCCAUCCUCUAACCCAUUAAAAAUAAGAAAAGUGAAUAAAAUUCUCCCCUUCAAAAUAAGAGCUCUUAAUAUUUCAGUUCAAUUAAUUCCUGGCAUUUUACCUAUUCAUGUUAUUUUAUUUUAUUUUUUUAGUUUUAGUAGAUAAGGGGGUCUCCCUGUGUUGCCCAGGCUGGUUUGGAACUCCUGGCCUUUAGUGAUGAUCCUCCCCUCUCAGCUUCCCAAAGUGUUGGGAUUACAGGCAUGAGCCAUUUUGCCUGGCCAGGCAGGAAAAUGGCGUGAACCCAGGAGGUGGAGCUUGUAGUGAGCCGAGAUUGCGCUCCAGCCUGGGCAACAGACUGAGACACCCCUUCUCAAAAAAACAAAACGAAACAAAAAAUCAGGGUAGCACUUCCAUCCCCAGGCCCAGGCCACUCUUCUAAGUGCUGAGAGGAUCUGAGCUCACGUGAGGCUGCCCUAGGCCUGCAGGGGCCAUUCUCAUCUUACAGAGGAGGGGCCAGAGGUGCAGAGAGGUGGGGUAACCUGCCCAGGCCAUGGAGCUGGGCCACUUUCCUGGCCAGCCCUGCCAGCCUCUGCAUCACGGGCCCUGCAGGAGGGAGCCUUUGGGAACCAGGCUCUCUUCUUCCUAAAUUUUAAAAUAAAAGCAUUUC